rnacentral:misc_RNA from 1 species
CGCACCUUGCGCCCUCUGGUAUUCCGGAGGGCAUGCCUGUUUGAGUGUCAUGAAGCCUCAACCCCCUCGGGUUCAUUCCUGAUCGGGUUGGAUUUGGGUGUCUGCCGCCUCACCGCGGCUCGCCUUAAAAGCAUUAGUGGGAAGUCUGGGUCGUCCUCACCGGACCGACGGCGUAUUAGGUUCCGCUGUUGGCACGGUGUGGGUCGCUCGUGACCGCCUGCUCACAACCCGCCCCUCGGGGCAACUUACUCUUGACUUUGACCUCAGAUCAGGUAGGACUACCCGCUGAACUUAA